ensembl:lncRNA
GACAAGCUGCCCUUGCCAGACAGGGCGUCACCUGCACCAGGAAGGCUGAGGCAUUUUGAAGAAGCAAAUGCCAUUUUUAAGGGUAAGAAGUGCUGGUCCUGAGGGGAAUUGAGAAGGCUACCACCCAGAUGAGAAGCCUUGAAGAUCCCCAUGCGAGGCUCUUCUAGAUCUUUUCUGACCAAGUUGAAAAGGUUAUGGAUAGAAACCUGAAAGAAGGUAUACAUGGCCAGAGGCAAAAACAGGAUGCGCAAGGAGGAGAGGCUCUGACUAGAAUCUUCAGGAAGAUGGGCACUAGAAGUGGUGAUGGUGAGCCUCCAUGGUCUCCAUGGCCUUGGGGGAAGCUUUCAACAUUUGACUAUUCAGCAAGAUGUUUUACCUGGACCUUUGGUUCAUGUACUCUUUGUCAUGGUGGUUGAAUUGACCUCCUUAAAAGACCUGGAACUGUUCUCUCUGUUCUUCUGGAGGAUUACUGUGUAAAAGGAGAUCUAUAUCUAUAUCUAUGUCUAUAUCUAUAUAGAUAUAGACAUAGAUAUAGAUAUAUUUUUUUUAACUGGG